rnacentral:ncRNA from 1 species
AAAAAUCCCAUGAAAAGAAAAAGUAAGUAAUAAUUAUUGUUCUACAGAAAGUUGACGGAUGAUGAAAGUCAAUGUGCAGUGUAUUACUGAAAAUCAUCUUGGAGGAGUGAAACUGAAUUUGAAAAAGUAAGUUUCAACGGAAAUUCCACCGUUACAAGGAAAGCGUAUUAAUUGUACGUAACUGAGAGCUACAAGAGUUGAUUAUAUGUAUAUAUGUUCUUUCUUUUGUGGAAUUAGGGUGGUAUCGCGUGUUAACCUCGUCCCUUUG